GCCCGGUUUUGCCCGAAAUCCCUCGGUUCAACCGGGUUUUAGAAACACUGCUCUGGACCCGUGGAUUGCAUCCCGAGAAGGCGAGCGACGCGUGCGACCCAUCUUUCUCCCUCUCGCGACAGCGGCGGCGCCGGCGGCGAUUCGAACGGACGGGACGUCGGCGGAGACUCGGUCGUGGCCGGCUGGAGGAGAGGAGCUCCUCUAAGAUGAUGCCGCCCUUCCUCGACGCUGACGCCGACGGUGGCCGGCUGGAGGAGAGGAGGCCGACCGUAGACCUCCGAGGAAGCUCCAGAUCUCCUGCAUCUCCGCCUUCCCCGACUCCGACGCCGGCUGUCACUUGGAGCACCACAUUGCCCUUACCUAUUCGAUUCUGGGCUGACUAUUCCCUGCAACUUCAAGUCACUUGAUCACUAGCUGAAGGUAUAUGAUGGAGCACUAGAGUUGUACAUGAAGAAGCUCUAGAAGAUGGGCAUGGGUGAAGAUGGGCAUGUGUUUAAUCACAAUCUUGUGAAUAAAAGAUGUCCAGCUUAUUGG